GCCGCUGUUUGACCACGGUCAGGCUUAUUGCAUGUUUUAACACAUUGGCUGCAGUUGUUUGAACAGCAUGGGCAGAGAAAACAGCCCAACAUGUUUCAGCCACUCCUCUCCAGCCUGUUUGCUGCGAGCAAUGACCUCCACAUGGAGGUUGUAGUGCUACUUUGAAGGAGUCCAAAUCACUCACGCGCUUAGACUGCAACAUCAGCUCGUCUAUAGGAUGCCUACUGAAGGAUCAGAUGAGAGACAGUCCUUCAGGGUUUGAAUGAAGAGAGCAAAAGAGAGAGUGCAAUCUGCCCCACCGCUGGUAUCAGAUGACCUUCACUGUGCAAACAUAUCCAUCUGUUGUGUCUGCAAAGAUGAUGACAGAGCCAAAUAGUGCCUUAUAAUUAAGUAAAAAUGAAGCAGACAUCAGACACUUAACAAUCCAGAAUUUUACUAGCAAAAGAUCCUGAAGGACAGACACCC
ensembl:lncRNA